rnacentral:rRNA from 1 species
GUCUACGGCCAUGCUACCGUAACACACCCGAUCCCGUUUGACCUCGGAAGCUAAGCAGGCUCGGGCCUGGUUAGUACUUGGAUGGGAGACCCCCUGGGAAGACCAGGUGCUGUAGGCA